rnacentral:rRNA from 1 species
CCUACGGGUGGCAGCAGUGGGGAAUAUUGCACAAUGGGGGAAACCCUGAUGCAGCGACGCCGCGUGAGUGAGGAAGUAGUUCGGUAUGUAAAGCUCUAUCAGCAGGGAAGAAAAUGACGGUACCUGACUAAGAAGCCCCGUCUAACUACGUUCCAGCAGCCGUGGUAAUACGUAGGGGGCAAGCGUUAUCCGGAUUUACUGGGUGUAAAGGGAGCGUAGACGGCUAAGCAAGUCAGAAGUGAAAACCCAGGGCUCAACCUUGGGACUGCUUUUGAAACUGAGUAGCUAGAGUGCAGGAGCGGAAAGCGGAAUGAGUAGUGUAGCGGUGAAAUGCGUAGAUAUUAGGAGGAACACCAGUGGCGAAGGCGGCUUACUGAACUGUAACUGACGUUGAGGCUCGAAAGCGUGGGGAGCAAACAGGAUUAGAUACCCCAGUAGUC